ensembl:lncRNA EIF1B-AS1 EIF1B antisense RNA 1
CCGUCACGGAGUGCGUCCUCUAGCGCGGGGCGGAAGACCCGCGAAGUGUUCAAGCGGCCGCAGAGCGGCCCAGAGUUCGCAGGUCUGGGGCUCUCUUCCCAGAGAGCUCGUAGGGGAGGACAGUCAAGGGACUCAAGCGUCUCUCUUGACUCCCCUUCUCUCGCUGUGCAGUGGCGGCGCCGAGGGGUCGACGCUCAGGGCUAAUCUCUAUGAGUCACCCUCGAGGCCCCGGGUAAUAUUGGGUGGAUCACAAGAACUAAUCUUUCAUGAUUUGGAAACCGGAAGGAAAGAAGCACUUUUGUAGCUGACUUACCUCAAUGACAUGACCAGUGUCUGAGCCUACAACUGCGCUAUCUUCCCUGGAUUUUUCUUCACCUUUUCCUUACUCAUGAGCCAGCAAGAAGGCCCUCACCAGAUGCACUCUUCUUGACCUUGGACUUCCCAGUUUCCGGAACUGUGAGAAAUGAAUUUCUUUUCUUUAGAAAUUGCUUAAUCUGUGGUAUUCAGUUAUAGCAACAUAAUAUGGACUAAGACAGAAAAUUGGUACUGAGAAGUAGGGCUGUUGCUAUGAGAAAUACCCACAAAUGUGGAAGUGGCUUAGGAACUGGAUAAUGGAUAGAGGCUGGAAGAAUUUGGUGUAGCAAGGUAGAAAAAGCUUGGAUUGCUGUGAAUGGUGCAUUAAGGGCAAUCCUGGUGAGGGCUCAAAAACAGAGAAGACGAGAGAAAGUCUGGAACUUAUUAGAGAUUAUUUAGGUGGUUGUGACCAGCAUAAUGAAAGAAAUAUGGACAGUAAAGGCCAUUCUGAUGAGGUUUCAGAUGGAACUGAAGAACAAGGUAUUGGAAACUAGAGCAAAGGCCACCCUUGUUAUAAAGUAGCAAAUAACUGGGCUGAACAGUGUCCGUGCCCAGAGGCUUUAUGAAGGGUGAAAGUUAAGAGUGAUGGACUAGGAUAUCUGGUGAAAGAAAUAUCUAAACAGCAAGUCCUCCAUGCUGUGCAUGGCUACUUUUAACUUCUUACAGUAAAAUAAGACAGGAAAGAGACGAUUUAAAGACAGAAUUUAUCGUUAAAAAGUCCGUAUGCAUUCUGUCCUGCCCUUCUGCCUUCUACUGUGGGAUGAUGCAGCAAAAAAGUCUUCACCAUAUGCAAGCCCUUCACUGUGGACUUGCCAGCAUCCAGAACUGUGAGAAAUGAGUUCCUUUAUAAAAUAAAUUACCCAGUUUGUGGUAUUCUGUUAUAGUAACACAAAACAGACUAAGACACCUUUUCUGUGCUCCGGCCUGGGACACUCUUUCAAGGCAGAAAGAUGGGCCAAUUGCAGGGCUCACCUUAUUUGUUUCCCAUCCCUCAGGAAUCACUGUCCUUUGUUUGAUGUGGAG